rnacentral:rRNA from 1 species
GCUGGAAUCGCUAGCAAUCGCAGGUCAGCAUACUGCGGUGAAUACGUUCCCGGGUCUUGUACACACCGCCCGUCACACCAUGGGAGCCGGAAAUGCCCGAAGCCAGUGACCCAACCUUAGGGAGGGAGCUGUCGAAGGUGGAGCCGGUAACUGGGGUGAAGUCGUAACAAGGUAUC